CGAUUCACCAUCGACACAUGCAUAACAAAGUUAGAGAGAAGCAUUAACAUUAAAAAAAAAAUGAAAGUUUCUCAAUUUGUCAUCCAUAUUGCCAUAAUUGUUUUAGUCAUCUCCUUUGCCAAUGCUUAUGAUCCAAGUCCACUACAAGACUUCUGUGUCGCCACAGCCAUUAAUGAUGAAACUAGCCUUUUCGUGAAUGGUCGGUUCUGUAAAGAUCCAAAACAAGUCGAUGCAGAGGAUUUUCUCUUCUCAGGCCUCAACAUCCCCGGGAACACAAGUAAUCAAGUUGGCUCAAACGUGACCAUGAUAAGCCUAUGCAAGUGUAUACAAGGAGAAGAAAUAGAACAAACAUAACACGUGUAGAAGAAGAAGAUGGCACGUGGGAGAAAGAUACUUGUAUAAAACUAUAGCAUUUGACAUUUUAUCAUUCUUAUGUUGUUGUAUGUGUAAACAGAGACGUAUGAGUCUUCUGAGGAGAGAGAGUAAUGUCUAGCUGCGUCUAGAGACUCUUCUUCACAUAUCUGUGGCUGUAAUCGAUUCUGUUUUGGGUUAAUAAAGGGAAGGAGAGUUCUUUUCUUAA